AUUGCACGCUGGCGGCAGGCCUAACACAUGCAAGUCGAACGAGUGGCGGACGGGUGAGUCAUGUCUGGGAAACUGCCCGAUGGAGGGGGAUAACUACUGGCAACGGUAGCUAAUACCGCAUACCAUCGGAUGUGCCCAGAUUGGAUUAGGUCGUAGGUGGGGUAACGGCUCACCUAGGCGACGCUCCCUAGCUGGUCUGAGAGGAUGACCAGCCACACUGGAACUGAGACACGGUCCAGACUCCUACGGGAGGCAGCAGUGGGGAAUAUUGCACAAUGGGCGCAAGCCUGAUGCAGCCAUGCCGCGUGUAUGAAGAAGGCCUUCGGGUUGUAAAGUACUUUCAGCGAGGAGGCGUUACUCACAGAAGAAGCACCGGCUAACUCCGUGCCAGCCGCCGCGGUAAUU
rnacentral:rRNA from 1 species